rnacentral:pre_miRNA from 1 species
GGAAUUCCGCUAGUUCUGAACUAUUUACAGUUAGAAAAAGUUCACUACUAGCAGAACUCGG